GAUGAAGAACGUAGCGAAAUGAGAUAAGUAAUGUGAAUUGCAGAAUUCAGUGAAUCAUCGAAUCUUUGAACGCACAUUGCGCCCGCCAGUAUUCUGGCGGGCAUGCCUGUUCGAGCGUCAUUACAACCCUCAGGCCCCCGGGCCUGGCGUUGGGGAUCGGCGGAAGCCCCCUGCGGGCACAACGCCGUCCCCCAAAUACAGUGGCGGUCCCGCCGCAGCUUCCAUUGCGUAGUAGCUAACACCUCGCAACUGGAGAGCGGCGCGGCCACGCCGUAAAACACCCAACUUCUGAAUGUUGACCUCGAAUCAGGGAGGAAUACCCGCUGAACUUAAGCAUAUCAAUAAGCGGAGGA
rnacentral:misc_RNA from 1 species